rnacentral:rRNA from 1 species
GAUGAACGCUGGGGCGUGCCUAAUACAUGCAAGUCGAGCGAACGGACGAGAAGCUUGCUUUUCUGAUGUUAGCGGCGGACGGGUGAGUAACACGUGGAUAACCUACCUAUAGGACUGGGAUAACUUCGGGAAACCGGAGCUAAUACCGGAUAAUAUUUUGAACCGCAUGGUUCAAAAGUGAAAGACGGUCUUGCUGUCACUUAUAGAUGGAUCCGCGCUGCAUUAGCUAGUUGGUAAGGUAACGGCUUACCAAGGCAACGAUGCAUAGCCGACCUGAGAGGGUGAUCGGCCACACUGGAACUGAGACACGGUCCAGACUCCUACGGGAGGCAGCAGUAGGGAAUCUUCCGCAAUGGGCGAAAGCCUGACGGAGCAACGCCGCGUGAGUGAUGAAGGUCUUCGGAUCGUAAAACUCUGUUAUUAGGGAAGAACAUAUGUGUAAGUAACUGUGCACAUCUUGACGGUACCUAAUCAGAAAGCCACGGCUAACUACG